rfam:Calypte anna contig85792, whole genome shotgun sequence.
CCAAAGGCUCUUUUAAGAGCCGCCCACAUAUUUCUGUAGAAGAGCU